rnacentral:rRNA from 1 species
UGUUCGUUAUUUAGGGCGCAUGGUGGAUGCCUUGGCAUGCUGAGCCGAUGAAGGACGUGAAAGGCUGCGUUAAGCCUCGGGGAGUUGUCAAUUGAGCGUUGAUCCGAGGAUGUCCGAAUGGGGAAACCUGGCACCUGUUAUGGGGUGUUACCUUGCAGUGAAUUCAUAGCUGUUGUGGGGGUUACGCGGGGAAGUGAAACAUCUCAGUACCCGUAGGAGAAGAAAAUAAUAAUGAUUCUGCUAGUAGUGGCGAACGAACGUGGAUGAGGCUAAACCGUGUGCAUGUGAUACCUGGUAGGGGUUGUGUGUGCGGUGUUGUGGGCCCUGAUGAGGAUGGCUACUGACGUCCUGCCUGCGCAUUGUUGUUAGGUGAAGUGGUGUGGAAACGCCUGCCGUAGAAGGUGAUAGUCCUGUAGCUGAAGAUGAUGGUGUGUGGGUUGUUGGGUUGCCCGAGUAGCAGCGGGCUCGUGGAAUCUGCUGUGAAUCUGCCGGGACCACCCGGUAAGCCUAAAUACUCAGUGUGACCGAUAGUGGAUAGUACCGUGAGGGAAUGGUGAAAAGUACCCCGGGAGGGGAGUGAAAUAGUUCCUGAAACCAUGUGCUUACAAUCCGUCAGAGCACUUUUUGUGUGAUGGCGUGCCUUUUGAAGAAUGAGCCUGCGAGUCAGCGGCAUGUCGCGAGGUUAACCCGUGUGGGGUAGCCGUAGGGAAACCGAAUCCUAAUGGGGUGUUUAGUGGCAUGUCCUGGACCCGAAGCGGGGUGAUCUACCCAUGGCCAGUGUGAAGCAGCAGUAAGAUGCUGUGGAGGCGCGAACCCACGUAGGUUGAAAACUGCGGGGAUGAGCUGUGGGUAGGGGUGAAAGGCCAAUCAAACUCCGUGAUAGCUGGUUCUCCCCGAAAUGCAUUUAGGUGCAGCGUCGCAUUAGCUUGGUGGAGGUAGAGCUACUGGUUGGUUGAGCGGGACUACAAUCUUAGCAAUGUCAGCCA